rnacentral:tRNA from 1 species
GGUUCCAUAGUGCAGUGGUUAGCGCCUCUGCUUUACAUGCAGAAGGUCCUGGAUUCACACUCCAAUGGAGCCA